GGAGAUAUAAGACGCUUCAUCACCGUUAGCACGUUAGGUCUAUUGGAUUAUCGAGUUGGAUUCCUCAAGUGCAGUAUUUGCUUGGCUUGAAAAUGAAGUGGGUUGCAGACCAUGCAUGGAGAAUGAAGAACACUUUCGAUGCAGUUGCUUUGCUGUCUAGUUACAGGCCCUGGACUCAGCUAGUUAUAUCCAUGUAAUUAAUUAUAUUACUAAUGAGCACUUUGCUUUUGUUACUCUAUUAUCUUAGCCAGUACC
rnacentral:lncRNA from 1 species